rnacentral:lncRNA from 1 species
GUCGCCACAUAUGCUCGGGAGGCUUUGCAGCUCAUCAGAGUUGUUGACUGGGAGGAUAACGUCACCAGCAUAAAACAGUGCUGGCACGCAUCGUAUGUUAGCGACACAAGCACUGACAUCAGUCAAUUUGUGAUGCCAUCAGCUGUCUUGUCUUGAUCAGCAUAGAAGUCAAGCAGACCUUCCGACACACCACAAUCUUUUGAGAAGUAUCUCGGUGAAACUGGAAAACACUUGAUGUGGCCUUCGUUUGAAGCGUCAGUGGCAAUUAAAGCGUCUUGUGGUCACAGAUAUCAUCCAAGAGCAUCUCGACGGAAUGUGGAGCAAGUACAUUCUCCACAAUGCUCUCACAUUUCGUGUGGCCACAGUAUCUUAUUGCUGAGCUUUAAGUCUGCAAGAACCUUACUUGCCAGCUUCAGAGUGCAGUCUGUGGACUGGACAAGCAGCUCUGGGGGUGAACAGCUCUGUGGUAGGCAAAGCUGACUACAGCAGCUGUGGCUAUCUUCUCGCGAUGCACUCGUUCUUCUUCUUCGCGAGAACAGACCCGUUGUGCUUGCUUGACUCCAUAUGCUUUCUGAUAGAGCCAUUGCCUUUGCUUUUCACUGAAAAUUCAGAUGAACAUGCCUUGCAUCUUGCCAUGCCUACGGUUUCUCCUUUCGCUAGCCACUGCUUGAACACUGUGACUGCCAACCACUCGUCCUUGAAUGUGCAUUGUCUUUUAAAAAGCCUUUGUUGCAGUUCUUAGAGUCGCAGAGGAGCUUCUUCUUAAUUUGUUUUCAGCUUCGGAACUUUCUCUGAUUGUGACACUCCCUUCGUAAUUGUCCUUCUGACUAAAUAUCGCCGUACUGUCCCGGGCCUCCGGCAUAGACUGUUCACACAAGAAAAUCAGAAGAGCACAUGUUUCAAACUUGCCAAUAGGCUUGUGAAUCCCACUUCACCAGCAGUCCCACCCAGAAACUUCUGACGUGGCCCUGCUUGAAAGCUUCAAGAGAUUUUCACUUCGUAUGAAUUCAUAGGCCUUCGGUGACAGAUUUCUCAGGACAAUGCAGUUACGAACUGUAACUUCGCAGUAUGUAGGUCUGAUUUUGGAGAAAUUAUUCACCUGGUCAAUGAGGAUGCAGGCUCCUACAUGCUUUUCUUGCGUGGCUUCAACUACUACUUUGACAAAAGCAGUCAAACCACAAUCUUCUUUUAGUUACUUGAGUUCUUCUUUGUAUUUGUCAACUGUUUGUCGCAGCCAUUGUAUCUGUGCCUUCAAAUCGCACUCUUUCCAUAGAAACUUCUGCCGUUCCAAAACAGAAAUGUUGCUGUGGACAUCUACCUGGGUGGCUUCGUGCUUUGAGGCCGGUUCAGUAGGAGCGUCGACCUCAACUUGUACUGGUAUAGUGAAGCACGGAACUUCUGUGAGACCUGGAGAGCUAAGACUUCAGGAAAGCCCAUCCACACGCACGGAGUCUUCAUCGACUCCAACAAAAAGGCUUGUUGCAGUCCCUGUCUUGAGAGGCCAUGUAGCAGCGUUGUCAUAAGCAAGCGCUCGUUUCCUCACAGCCGCAUCGCUCCGAGCUUUCUUUGGCUUCGGCUGCAUGUACUCCGGGUGAUCGUUAAACAUGCUGGGAGUUGCCCCUCUCUUGAGUUUCUGAGUAUUGCAUCCUUCUUUGUAUUUCGUGGGUAGAAAAUGUCGGCUACACACAACGAACCAGAGGAAAAGGAAAAGAGAGGGAGGCAAGGAAAUGCAAAGUUGCAACAGUUUCCUUUGUGUGUGCAAAGGUCCACCCACGAAUCAAUGUUUGGCAUGUGUUUUCUAACCAUUCACAUGCUGAAGGAGCAUUUCCAGGGCCAUCAUGGGUGCUACUUUUCUAAGUCCCGUAAUGACUUGCAACAUUUGUGUUUGGGGAGGCUGCACCACACUGGCAACGGUCAUUUGGUCCAAAAGCGUAGUCAGUGUUCUAUAAUUUUAUUGUAGGGCUUGGAGCAGGUCACGAGCUGUGAUUGCGUCACUGUGUUCUGUAUGGUUCUCCUCUGCCAGUCUGGCUAACUAUUCCUGUCGACUGUUCCAUUUAGGGCAAUUGGUUUCCAUCCAUCCAGCUCGCCUUCAGUCUAGAACGGCGACUGCACGAUAGAUUCCACUUGUGAAUUAUGUUGUCUUCACCAGAGAGUAGACACGAGCCAUCGUAGUAAAAGGCAUAUUAAAAAACACAAAUGAGAACUCAAUUAGCCACACAGACAAGCUACGUAUGCCACACAAGUGAAUUCCAAAAGCAUCAAUGUUAUCCUCGCCUUCUCUCACCUGCACGCUGCAUAAACAGAGCUUCCCAAGAAAGGCAUUAGUGAUGUGAUAUCACCCGCUAAGUACUUUUGCUUAGUGUCAGCUGCUUUGCCUUUUGCCUGUUCAUGGCAUUCGAGACGUUAAUGCCCUUCACUGGAGAACGGAGGCCCACGAGAAUAUAAAAUGAAAUCAUUUUCACACCCACUUCCUCUCCAUGCUCGGUGCAGGGGAAAGAAUUUCUACACAAAAAGGUUUGCUUUCGCCUGCAACGGAACAUUGCAAACACAAUUCAUGUGCAGUAUCCUCAAGCCAAAACAUUUCCCUCUGAAUAUUUUCCAAACAAGGUGUGCAGCAUUCUGGAUGGGUGCAAAAGCCCACCCAAGUCACUGCUUUGAGAAGCUAGAAGGAAGGCGCUCAGCAGCAGCUUUGGCCGAUUCCACAAGUCAGUUAUCCUUACACAAUGGGUGUUCUAGCUGCAACGCACCUUUUAGAGCCACGUAGCCAGCAAUACAAUGUAUUAAUAUUGAAUCGCCCUUUUCUACAGCAAAAAAAAGAAGUGGUGCGCGCUACUUUUAGCUUUCCCAACAGAUACUUCAGCUUCAUUGAGAACUACUUUCUGAAAGAGUCUCCUCGAUUCUUUUGUUUUUAAUUUUUUAUAGCUUCAUCUUCUUGGUAAUCAACACUGAUGAGCACAAUUACGACAUCGGGACUUGCAUUUGCUGCAUCCACACUUCUGGCUAAGUUGUAAAAUGAAAAGCAAGUUCACAAUGUCAGGAAAUUCCUUUGGAGAGAGACGGGCAUUGCAAGCACUAAAUUGGCAGACAGUGCCAAAAAAGCUUUCCAGUGGGUCAGUGCUCAGCCUUGACGUCAUGAGGUACCUUAAUUAAUGAAAAGGAAAAGCAGCACUUAUAUGACAAGGACAGGGAAGGAAUGACGCACGGUGCACUGAUUAACAACAGUUUUAUUGCAGCAAGGCAAUAUAUAGAAAAGCCUGCUAGCACAUGUGCAGUACACAUCAUCACAUCACUGUGAGUGAAAAAACGUAAAAGAGAAGUUCAAAAGCCAAAACCCAAGAAGGCUGCAUGCAACACUAGGCAACGUGAGAUGAUGAUAUUUCUCCUUUUGACCCAAUCUCAUGGGCCAAGAACUGGGACAAACAUAUUUCAGAACAUGG